UUUAAGGUGGCAGACAAGUGCAAUAGAUUUAAGAUCUAUAUAUAAAGGUUAAACUCCUUUUCUUAAAA
rnacentral:tRNA from 1 species